rnacentral:lncRNA from 1 species
UAUUUACCCGGAAUAGCUGCUAAAGAUGUUCUUCCUUUGUCUUACGUAGCCCAAAUUGUUUCAUGGCAUGUUUCAAGGCAUGUUGUCUGUUCUAACCUUUAACUAGCAGGGUAGUUCUAACCUUUAACUAGCAGGGUAGUUCUAACCUUUAACUAGCAGGGUAGUUCUAACCUUUAACUAGCAGGGUAGUUUUAAAUUGACCAUAACCCUGUGUAAGAAUUCUGUUUUGGCUUUAAGGUGGCUUUUAUCACUUCUGUUCCAGCCUAUCCCAUACUUUAAAUUCUGUAGCAUACCCCUUCUAUUCCUUAACUCAGAGAAAUAGAUACUCUCUUCUAGUUUGUGUUUAUCUGAGUUCUGCAGAAGGAUUUACAUAAAGACAGGAGUCAGUGGCCUUGCUCUGGGUGUAAAAUUAAUCAUAUGUAUGUCUCUAUAUGAGUAAGAUCUUGAUGAAAUGAUCAGCCAUGUGGUAAUAAGUCAUUCUAGAUGACACACAGCAUUUACUGAAUUCUGGUAAAUUGCAUCAACAUUUGAGAAGAAUUUAACAAGGGGGAACCGCAUAAGAAGCGAGAGUCAACAGUGUCUGUUGAGUCAUUCCCUAACUAUUUUGGGUAAAGUGGUUGUCCAAGUGGAUAAAACACAUUUGGAAGAGUGGUUUUGUUACAGAACUGAUUAUUAUAACAAAAUUCUUUGGAAGUGUCUUUUAUUUUCCAUCAGAGACUAAUUAAAUGGACUAAUUAAAUUUGGACUAAUAGUCCAAAUGUGUGAGUAGUAUAAAGGCGCGUGAUUGUAUCCAGUUAUCUCGCAUGGAGUAAUAGCAUUUAAUAAAUAUUUACUGCAUCUCAAACUAUAGUCAGCACUUUUGCUUUAUGUAAAACAUGCACUCUUCUCUUUGGUAGCUUGAUUGUUUUAAAAGAACCAUCGAUAUGGAAGAUGCUAAGUUCAGUGAUAGUGGUGAAGAAGAGCAGAAAACUCUUUUACCAUUUCUGGAACAGGAAGAAAAAGAAGACAGAGCCAGUCAGUUCUCUAAUAUGAAAGACCACCAGGAAGAACACAAACUUGAAGAGUCAGGUGAUGGUGGCAAGAUGGGAAACAAGGACCCUUCUAAAGGAGCUGGAGAUGAGUCUGAUUCUAGCAUGUAAAUAACUUAAUUUGUUAUCAGUUCUAACAGUAAUUUCUUCUAUAGUGUUAAUUUACAUUUUUAAAGAUAAGGUUUGGUUAAUUCAGCUAUCCAUUGGGCGGGGGGGUUGGCAAAUUCAUCAUUGAGAUGUAUGGCCUUUCCGUUAAAAAUAAACAAAAUCAGUUACCAUUGUUAAAAUAAUGA